CCUGCCCCUAGAUGUGCUGCAGGUGAGGCUGCUGUGUCUCAGGUGCCUCAGUAGGUGGCAGUGAGGGGAGAGGCUGUGUUCAUGCUCAGUGUUCUGACCUGUGAACAUCUCAAUGAUUAGUAGCCUAACUGU
ensembl:snoRNA